rnacentral:rRNA from 1 species
CGAAGGGGGCUAGCGUUGUUCGGAAUCACUGGGCGUAAAGGGCGCGUAGGCGGCCGAUUAAGUCGGGGGUGAAAGCCUGUGGCUCAACCACAGAAUUGCCUUCGAUACUGAUUGGCUUGAGACCGGAAGAGGUCAGUGGAACUGCGAGUGUAGAGGUGAAAUUCGUAGAUAUUCGCAAGAACACCAGUGGCGAAGGCGGCUGACUGGUCCGGUUCUGACGCUGAGGCGCGAAAGCGUGGGGGAGCAAACAGGAUUAGAUACCCUGGUAGUCCACGCCGUAAACGAUGAAUGCCAGCCGUUGGCGAGCUUGCUCGUCAGUGGCGCAGCUAACGCUUUAAGCAUUCCGCCUGGGGAGUACGGUCGCAAGAUUA